AUUGAACGCUGGCGGCAGGCCUAACACAUGCAAGUCGAGCGGUAGCACAGGGAGCUUGCUCCUGGGUGACGAGCGGCGGACGGGUGAGUAAUGUCUGGGAAACUGCCUGAUGGAGGGGGAUAACUACUGGAAACGGUAGCUAAUACCGCAUAACGUCGCAAGACCAAAGAGGGGGACCUUCGGGCCUCUUGCCAUCAGAUGUGCCCAGAUGGGAUUAGCUAGUAGGUGGGGUAACGGCUCACCUAGGCGACGAUCCCUAACUGGUCUGAGAGGAUGACCAGCCACACUGGAACUGAGACACGGUCCAGACUCCUACGGGAGGCAGCAGUGGGGAAUAUUGCACAAUGGGCGCAAGCCUGAUGCAGCCAUGCCGCGUGUAUGAAGAAGGCCUUCGGGUUGUAAAGUACUUUCAGCGGGGAGGAAGGCGAUAAGGUUAAUAACCUUGUCGAUUGACGUUACCCGCAGAAGAAGCACCGGCUAACUCCGUGCCAGCCGCCGCAGUAA
rnacentral:rRNA from 1 species